rnacentral:lncRNA from 1 species
GGAGAGCACAGGCAGCCGGAGGCUUAAGCUGGCUGCUCCCACCUCCGCCUCUCCACGCUUCCUGCUUCCACCAUGAAGCCGCUGGUACGGGUUCAAAGAAGAAAAUUCGCCACAAGCACAGAAUUCUUUCAAGUCCCAGUUUUUAAAUUCAUGUGCACGCUGCCUUCUGCUCGGUAAAUCCAAAGGGAUGCAGACCAGAGCUAAUGCAGAGACCCCAUGGUGUCCACAAGAAACUGAGCUUCUUUCUUUUUUCUCUACUUUUGUCAGUAUUUGGCUUUUAUCUUCUUGGACCCAAUAUAUACUGGGCACAGCAUCUUUUUUUU